AUUGAACGCUGGCGGCAGGCCUAACACAUGCAAGUCGAACGCAGUGGGGACGGGUGAGUAACACGUGGGUAACAUCCCAUAAGAGGGGAUAACACUUGGAAACAGGUGCUAAACCGAUACUGAUGGAUGAACCCGCGGUGCAUUAGCUAGUUGGUGAGGUAACGGCUCACCAAGGCCAAGAUGCAUAGCCAACCUGAGAGGGGGAUCGGCCACACGGGAAAUGAGACACAGCACGGACUCCUAGGGAAGCAGGCAGUAGGUAAUCUGCGGAAAAGGACGAAAGUCGGACCUGCAAACGCCGCGUGGGUUAAUAAGGUUUUGGGAGCGUAAAACUCUGGUGUUAGAGAUGCGGUAUCUAACCAGAAAGCCACGGCUAACUCCGUGCCAGCCGCCGCGGUAAUAC
rnacentral:rRNA from 1 species